rnacentral:misc_RNA from 1 species
AGAGUCACUCUUUCGACGCUUUCUUGACCUUAGUAAUUAUCAAUACAGUAACCGAUACCAAGGCAAGCCAAAGUAUUUAAAUGGUAGCUUAGUCUCCGGGAAUUCGAGGAUCCUGCCAAUCUUCCGCUUGAACCUAUGCCCCGUGCCUGCAAACACUAUCGAGCUUUCCGGUAUUUACUCUCAGCCCUGUGAGAGAGUGGAAACGUUGUAGUUGUAGCACCUCUUUAAUAAAUUACCUUUCGCACUUGUCUUUGAAUUUCCUGCAAAGAGAAGGACACCAUCCGCGUAGCAUAGGUGAGAGAUAUAUAAAAUAGGGUUCACAUUAGGUCUAACCACCCGGGCAUCGUCCACUGCACGGUUGACACCAAGACUGAGUUGCUCCAUUACUAUAGUGAAUAGAUACGGGGAAAGGGGAUCCCCUUGUCUAAAACCUCUCUUCCCAGGAAAGAAAAAAAAGAGGGGGAGCCAUUCACUAAAACUGCAUAGGAGGUGGUUGAAAUGCAGGCCUGUAUCCACUCGAUCCAGGUUGGGGGGAAGCUCAUCUGUCUGAGACACCCCAAACGCGUUCCAAGAGACCUUGUCAUAAGCUUUCUUGAAGUCCACCUUCAUACAAAAUGGAGCUGGUCCUCUAUCCUUAUGGAAAUUCCUCACAAGUUUAUGAGCUAGAAAGAUAUUCUCUGUGAUGUUCCGGUUUUUAAUGAAUGCUGCUUUGUUCUUUUUCUACUGCU